UACAGAGGUCUCAAGCGUUGUUCGGAUUCAUUGGGCGUAAAGGGUGUGUAGGUGGCGCCGUAAGUCGGGUGUGAAUUUCGGAGCUUAACUCCGAAACUGCAUUCGAUACUGUGGUGCUUGAGGACUGGAGAGGAGACUGGAAUUUCAGGUGUAGCGGUGAAAUGCGUAGAUAUCAUAAGGAAGACCAGUGGCGAAGGCGGGUCUCUGGACAGUUCCUGACGCUGAGGCACGAAGGCCAGGGGAGCAAACGGGAUUAGAACCGUAC
rnacentral:rRNA from 1 species